UGAAGAAGCUGUCAAGGAGGCUGAACAAGUCAUUCAAAGCUGAAAGUGAAGACCAGAGGAAGGCCUGUCAUGGGAUUUGAAUUAGGCCAUAUUGUCCGUUUACGGAGAACACCAAAAGCUGCAAAGGCAAAAAUUUCCAAUGGAUUUCUCACAGAUUGCUUGGUCCUUCUCCAUCAGCUCUCUACAAUAUCAGUCCUUCCAAAAAUGUCCACAUCUCUCUCUCAUGUGGCACAUCUGCUCUCGCUCCUUUAUUGCCAACUUCCAGUCUUAGCAAAAUUAUAAUUGUCUAAAAAAAAAUAUAACUGUUAACUUUUUUUUAAUUGUUCCUGCAUUUAGUCACAAUAGAAGCAAACAGUGAUUACAGGAGAAUAAUAAUUGUAAUAUUUAAUUUAUUUAUUUUUUUUUUUUUUAUUUAUUUUUUUUUUAAAAGCAAGAAAAUAAUAAUUUCAACUGGAGCCUCGAAGCUCCCAGUUUGUAAAAUAUUAAUUGGCAUUUUAUGACAUUUUCUGUAAACAAAUUCUAUUUUUAUUUUUUAAUAGUGGAUAAUGUAGUUACAUAUUUGUUUCCAUGAACCCAUUAAUUACUUUAUCAAUCAGUCAUUGUUUGAAGUUGUUAGAUUUUACUAUAACUGCUUUUUUUGUUUGUUUGUUUUUUUGUUGUUGUUGUUGUUGUUUUUUUUUUUUUUUUCAUAGUGGCACAAACUGGAGAGAGAGUGCUGUUCUGGGCACAAUGUUUGUCUUGGAAAAGUUUAACAUAUCAAUAAACAUUGGAAAAUUUGUAA